UCCAGACUCCCUACGGGAGGCAGCAGUGGGGAAUAUUGCACAAUGGGGGGAACCCUGAUGCAGCGACGCCGCGUGGGUGAAGGAGUGCUUCGGCAUGUAAAGCCCUAUCGGCAGGGAAGAAGCAAGACGGUACCUGACUAAGAAGCCCCGGCUAACUACGUGCCAGCAGCCGCGGGAAUACGUAGGGGGCAAGCGUUAUCCGGAUUUACUGGGUGUAAAGGGGGCGCAGACGGCAAUGCAAGCCAGGAGUGAAAGCCCGGGGCCCAACCCCGGGACUGCUCUUGGAACUGCAUGGCUGGAGUACAGGAGGGGCAGGCGGAAUUCCUAGUGUAGCGGUGAAAUGCGUAGAUAUUAGGAGGAACACCGGUGGCGAAGGCGGCCUGCUGGACUGUGACUGACGUUGAGGCCCGAAGGCGUGGGGAGCAAACAGGAUUAGAUACCCCAGUA
rnacentral:rRNA from 1 species